UACGUAGGGGCAAGCGUUGUCCGGAUUUAUUGGGCGUAAAGAGCGUGUAGGCGGCCAGGUAGGUCCGUUGUGAAAACUCGAGGCUCAACCUCGAGACGCCGAUGGAAACCAUCUGGCUAGAGUCCGGAAGAGGAGAGUGGAAUUCCCGGUGUAGCGGGUGAAAUGCGCAGAGUAUCGGGAAGAACACCCGUGGCUAAGGCGGCUCUCUAGUACGGUACUGACGCUGAGACGCGAAAGCGUGGGGAGCGAACAGG
rnacentral:rRNA from 1 species